rnacentral:rRNA from 1 species
GAUGAACGCUGGCGGCGUGCCUAAUACAUGCAAGUCGAGCGAACGGACGAGAAGCUUGCUUCUCUGAUGUUAGCGGCGGACGGGUGAGUAACACGUGGAUAACCUACCUAUAAGACUGGGAUAACUUCGGGAAACCGGAGCUAAUACCGGAUAAUAUUUUGAACCGCAUGGUUCAAAAGUGAAAGACGGUCUUGCUGUCACUUAUAGAUGGAUCCGCGCUGCAUUAGCUAGUUGGUAAGGUAACGGCUUACCAAGGCAACGAUGCAUAGCCGACCUGAGAGGGUGAUCGGCCACACUGUAACUGAGACACGGUCCAGACUCCUACGGGAGGCAGCAGUAGGGAAUCUUCCGCAAUGGGCGAAAGCCUGACGGAGCAACGCCGCGUGAGUGAUGAAGGUCUUCGGAUCGUAAAACUCUGUUAUUAGGGAAGAACAUAUGUGUAAGUAACUGUGCACAUCUUGACGGUACCUAAUCAGAAAGCCACGGCUAACUACGUG